rnacentral:rRNA from 1 species
UUAUACAGCGAAACUGCGAAUGGCUCAUUAUAUAAGUUAUCGUUUAUUUGAUAGUACCUUACUACUUGGAUAACCGUGGUAAUUCUAGAGCUAAUACAUGCUAAAAAUCCCGACUUCGGAAGGGAUGUAUUUAUUAGAUUAAAAACCAAUGCCCUCUGGGCUCUUUGGUGAUUCAUGAUAACUUCUCGAAUCGCACGGCCUUGCGCCGGCGAUGGUUCAUUCAAAUUUCUUCCCUAUCAACUUUCGAUGUUUGGGUAUUGGCCAAACAUGGUUGCAACGGGUAACGGAGGGUUAGGGCUCGACCCCGGAGAAGGAGCCUGAGAAACGGCUACUACAUCCAAGGAAGGCAGCAGGCGCGCAAAUUACCCAAUCCCGACACGGGGAGGUAGUGACAAUAAAUACUGAUACAGGGCUCUUUUGGGUCUUGUAAUUGGAAUGAGUACAAUUUAAAUCCCUUAACGAGGAACAAUUGGAGGGCAAGUCUGGUGCCAGCAGCCGCGGUAAUUCCAGCUCCAAUAGCGUAUAUUAAAGUUGUUGUGGUUAAAAAGCUCGUAGUUGAACCUUGGGCCUGGCUGGCCGGUCCGCCUCACCGCGUGUACUGGUCCGGCCGGGCCUUUCCCUCUGUGGAACCUCAUGCCCUUCACUGGGUGUGACGGGGAAACAGGACUUUUACUUUGAAAAAAUUAGAGUGCUCCAGGCAGGCCUAUGCUCGAAUACAUUAGCAUGGAAUAAUAAAAUAGGACGUGUGGUUCUAUUUUGUUGGUUUCUAGGACCGCCGUAAUGAUUAAUAGGGACAGUCGGGGGCAUCAGUAUUCAAUUGUCAGAGGUGAAAUUCUUGGAUUUAUUGAAGACUAACUACUGCGAAAGCAUUUGCCAAGGAUGUUUUCAUUAAUCAGGAACGAAAGUUAGGGGAUCGAAGACGAUCAGAUACCGUCGUAGUCUUAACCAUAAACUAUGCCGACUAGGGAUCGGACGAUGUUAUUUUUUGACGCGUUCGGCACCUUACGAGAAAUCAAAGUGCUUGGGCUCC